UCUGGUGGUCAUAGCAGGCAUAAAACUCCCGAUCCCAUCCCGAACUCGGCCGAUAAGUGUGCCCACGCCAAUGGUACUGCGUCUCAAGACGUGGGAGAGUAGGUCACCGCCAGAC
rnacentral:rRNA from 1 species